UACGGGGGGGGCGAGCGUUGUCCGGAUUCAUUGGGCGUAAAGGGCGCGCAGGCGGCCCGGAAAGUCGGAUGUGAAAACUCGAGGCUCAACCUCGAGCGUGCACCCGAUACUGCCGGGCUUGAGGCAGGUAGGGGAGAUCGGAAUUCCUGGUGUAGCGGUGAAAUGCGCAGAUAUCAGGAGGAACACCGGUGGCGAAGGCGGAUCUCUGGGCCUGUCCUGACGCUGAGGCGCGAAAGCUAGGGGAGCGAACAGG
rnacentral:rRNA from 1 species